CCUUCAGCGACAGGCUGGUUUUUGCCGCAGUCUCUGACCAAGAAAACCCUUCCAGGGGCAGCUCAACCUGGGGACAACCACAGAGGUGGGAUCUGGGCCCGAAGACAGGUGUCACCUGAAACAGGCCACUGUUGUCCGGCUGCAGUAUGCUGGGAGGACCAGCUCCUGCUCCACCGUGCCCCCGCUGGGAGGAAGGUUGACCCGUGCGUGGGAGUGUGACUGCUGGAAAGGCAUCCUUGCCGCAGCUGUGAGUGUGAUGGGACAGCAGAGUCACUCCUGCAUAGGAUUCUAGGGCUGGGGGUCCCAGAGGGGUGGCCCCGCCCCUCCUGGAGGCCAAGGACUGUCACCGUGUCACUACGGCACUCUCCAGCUGCUCACCGAAGCCCUCGCUGACCACAGCCCUGCCACAUUACGGGUCUUCCCUCUGUAGCAACGUGAAGAGACUGCAGUGAGGCGUGGAAUUGGGCAGUUCUUCUGGAUUCAUUAAAAACUCGUUCC